AUUGAACGCUGGCGGCAGGCCUAACACAUGCAAGUCGAGCGGAGCGGCGGACGGGUGAGUAAUGCCUAGGAAUCUGCCUGGUAGUGGGGGAUAACGUCCGGAAACGGGCGCUAAUACCGCAUACUAUCAGAUGAGCCUAGGUCGGAUUAGCUGGUUGUUGGGGUAAAGGCCUACCAGGGCGACGAUCCGUAACUGGUCUGAGAGGAUGAUCAGUAACACUGGAACUGGGAAACGGUCCAGACUCGUACGGGAGGAAGCAGUGGGGAAUAUUGGACAAUGGGCGAAAGCCUGAUCCAGCCAUGCGGCGGGUGUGAAGAAGGUCUUCGGAUUGUAAAGCACGUUAAGUUGGGAGGCGUUACCAACAGAAUAAGCACCGGCUAACUUCGUGCCAGCAGCCGCGGUAAUUC
rnacentral:rRNA from 1 species